ACGGAAGGCAGCAGUGGGGAAUAUUGGGCAAUGGACGAAAGUCUGACCCAGCGACGCCGCGUGAAGGAAGAAGAUCCUCGGAUUGUAAACUUCAGUCAACAGGGAAGAAGAAAAUGACGGUACCUGUGGAGGAGGCCACGGCUAACUACGUGCCAGCAGCCGCGGUAAUACGUAGGUGGCGAGCGUUAUCCGGAUUUACUGGGUGUAAAGGGUGUGUAGGCGGGAAUGCAAGUCAGAUGUGAAAAUUAUGGGCUCAACUCAUAACCUGCAUUUGAAACUGUAUUUCUUGAGAGUCGGAGAGGUAAACGGAAUUCCCGGUGUAGCGGUGAAAUGCGCAGAUAUCGGGAGGAACACCAGUGGCGAAGGCGGUUUACUGGACGACAACUGACGCUGAGACACGAAAGCGUGGGGAGCAAACAGGAUUAGAUACCCUGGUA
rnacentral:rRNA from 1 species